GAUGAACGCUGGCGGCGUGCUUAACACAUGCAAGUCGAACGGUGAAGGCGGAGCUUGCUCUGCUGGAUCAGUGGCGAACGGGUGAGUAACACGUGAGCAAUCUGCCCCUGACUCUGGGAUAAGCGCUGGAAACGGCGUCUAAUACUGGAUACGAGCUGCGAAGGCAUCUUCAGCAGCUGGAAAGAACUUCGGUCAGGGAUGAGCUCGCGGCCUAUCAGCUUGUUGGUGAGGUAACGGCUCACCAAGGCGUCGACGGGUAGCCGGCCUGAGAGGGUGACCGGCCACACUGGGACUGAGACACGGCCCAGACUCCUACGGGAGGCAGCAGUGGGGAAUAUUGCACAAUGGGCGAAAGCCUGAUGCAGCAACGCCGCGUGAGGGACGACGGCCUUCGGGUAGUAAACCUCUUUUAGCAGGGAAGAAGCGAAAGUGACGGUACCUGCAGAAAAAGCGCCGGCUAACUACGUG
rnacentral:rRNA from 1 species